AAUGCUAUGUGAUGCUUGCUCCAAGGUUUUUUUAUUUUUAAUUUUUUUUAUUGUAUGUAUUUUAUUAACUAAAGAUAAGACUGGACCCAUUACAUCACGAUGCCACACUCUUUGUCCUAAAUUGUUUUUCGUUGAUAAAAUUUUUUAUCCAGAAUUUUACAUGGUUUGUAUAGUUGAUAAUUGGUUUGAUAAAUAGUUUGCAGCUUGUAUAUUGUGUGAUACAAGCUUUGUGAGUUAAUAAAGUAUUUGAUAAAUUGUUUGUUAUCUGUUACCUAAUUUGUUGCCUAGUACAUUUUUUGUUAGCUGAUGCAUAAUUUGAUACCAAAGAUUGUUAAAUACACUAAAAGAAAUAUGAGUAUUUAUAGCACUAGCGGAUAGCGUAUUUUGUGUUUCUUCUAUAGUUAACAUACUCUUUACUUUUAUAUAGCGUUUGUUAAAAUGCAAACGCUAUGUUUGGUUGCUCCAAUUUUAAUUGUGCCAACGCUUUUUAGAAACAUAGUAUACAUAGCAAUGUCAGUUUUAGAACGCUAUGCAAAAUUAAGGCGGAUAAUAAUUUCAUUUUCCCUCUCACCCUCGUUUCACUUUCCCUCUCACUCCAUUUCAUUUGUCAACCCUCCAAAACCUCUAAACUCCAAAUCCUAAACCCUAAACCAUAAACUCUAUAAUCUAAAAUUUAAAUACAACCCCUAAAACUAAAAUAUUUUCUUAUUUUAAUCUCAAAACUUAAAAUUUAAAAUUUAUAAAAAAAUAAUUUCAAACCCUAAACUAUAUCAUACCCCAAAAUUAAUCAUAUACCAUAAACUCUAACUAAAAAUUUUAAAAUUCUAUUUUUUUUUUAUUAUUCAACUUCAAAUCUUCAAUUUAAUAUGAAAGUCUAAUCUAAGUCUUAGAUUUAAACCGAAAACGCUAUACUCCAAACCCUAUAAUUCUAUAUAAAUCAUAAAUUUAUUUAAAUAGAUACUUUACAUAAUGUAUUUUUUAUAAUAAAAUAUAAAAAUAUAGCUAGUCACCUUGUUUUUAUAUUUAAACACAACCCCUAAAACUCAAAUAUAUAUAUUUUUUAUUUUAACUUCAAAUCUUAUAUUUUAAUUUUAAUAUUUUUAAUUCUCUAGACCUCAAAUACUUUGCUUCAAACCCUAUGUAUACCAUAAAUUUAAAAUCUAAACACUAACCGUAAAACAUUAAUAUUUUCAAAAUUGAAUCUUAAAUUUUAACUUAAACUAAAAAUUUAAUCUCCAAUCGUAAAAUCUAAACUCCAAACACCAUACUCCAAACUUAACUAUAUACCCUAAAGUCCAAAUUCUAAACCUUAAUUCAAAUUUCAAACUUAAAACCUAAACUCUAGUUCAUAAACUCUAAACUUCAAACCCUAUACUCACACCUUUAUUCUAAACUCCAAACAUUAAAUCUAAACCUUAAAUCAUUAGUUUUCAAACUUAAUACAUUAAAUCUUAGUUAUAAAAAAGUAAUAUAGAUGAUAAUCUAAUUUUAUAUAAAUAAAAUUACUUAAACAGACAAAUUAUACUAUUUAAACAACUAUUAAAUAAAAAAAACAGUUUUUGAUUGGUUAAUUUUGACAUUGAUGCUUUUAAUCCAAUGGCUAUAAAUCAGUUUGUUUUGUUAAUCCUCCUCUUUAUUUCUCAUUGGCCAAAUCUUUAUGCACAAGGAUAACCUUUUCAUCCGUCGGAUGAGAUCUAAUCUGACUGUCCAGAUUUGUUAAUCUCCCAUUUUCUUAAUCUGAUGGCCCAGAUUUGCCGAUCUCUCCUUCUCUUUCCAUCUCUCAUUUUCUUAUCUUCAACAUACGAGAUCUAUCUUUCUCUUCAAUCCCAUAAUUUUUUAUGGUUUCUAAAGAUCGAUGAAGCUCAUCUCCUCUUCUCUGGUGGUAAAGACCUAGGCAUGUCUCUUCAUCACCACACAGAGCCCGUCUCCUCAUCACCACACAGAGCCCGUCUCCUCAUCUCACCAUCUCCCUUCUCCGGUUUGAUACAGAUCUCGUCCCCUUCUCCGUCUUCAUCUCCAUACAGAGCCCGUCUCCGUCUUCAUCUCCAUAGAGAGCCCGUCUCCGUCUCCAUACUCAACACAUGUCUUCUCUUCACGGAGGAUACGAGACGACGACAGGGUAAAGAAGUUGACGGUGGAGGCUGAAGAAGCUUUAUGGUGGUGGUCUCGGCAUUAAUAGUGGUGGUUUAAGUUUAUGGAGGAAGCUUAAGAAGCUUGAUGGAGGCCUCCACGACCAUACGGAUCCGACGCAAACAAGCUCUUCCUCUGUGAAUCCGAGUUCUCUCAGUCCCAAUCUUUAUUUGGUUGACUGAGUUCUUCAAUGAUGGAGAAACAUCUCCUCUAUUACGCCCAAAUCUCAUAACUCAAUCUCCCAAGGAUCCCAUCUAAAAUUAUUUUCUUUUUAUUUAAUUUUAAUGCGAAAGUUAAGUUAAUUACACUAAUACCCCUAACCGUAAUAUACAGAUAUCAAUUGAUUUAGUUUUUUAUUCUUAUCUUUCUUUUUCCUUUUCUUUCACUUUUCUCUGCCACAACCGUUCAUUUUUUUCUCUUUUCUUCCGGCGACUUUCUCUCUUCUCUUCUCUAUUUUCUCUGUGAUUCUCUUCUUUUUCUCAGUAAACAGUAAAACAGAUCCACUGUAGAUGAUGAAAACAACGGUCGAAGGUGAUAGAAACAACAUCAAUGGCGAUUAUUCCACUUCUCGCGCUUUAGAACUGUUCAAAACGGCGAUGGUUCAACAUAUGCACUUCAAAUCUUUUUCUUCUUGCGCUUCACAUCAAUGGCGAUUCUUUCUCUUCUCGUGUUUUAUGAUUAUGGGAUUUUAUUGUUUUUGUUCCCCCUUUGCAAAGUAUGUUUCGUGUUUUUUUAUUUAUUUUCUUCAGAUCUGGAUCCAGUAUAACUCGGUAUUACUAACUCAGUCGAAUUUGGUAUAACUAACUCAGUAGUACCUAGUAUUAUGCAGUAUAACCAGUAGAACUUAGUCGAACUCGGUAUAACUAACUUAGUAGUAGUACUAGUAAUACUUAGUAGUACUCAGUACAAUCGGUAUAACUCGGUAUAACUACACUCGGUAGUACUCAGUAUAACUAAUUAUAAUCUGGUAUAACUACACUCAGUAGUACUCAGUAUAACUCGGUAUAACUACAUUCAGUAGUACUCAGUAUAACUUAACAUCAAUAUUACCUAGUAGAACGAAGUAUAACCUAGUACAACUAAGUAAAACUAUACAGUAUAAUGUAGUAUCCGAAAUUUAAAAAUUUUGAAAAUUUUGAAAUUUUGAAAAUUUGAAAAUUUAAUAUAUUUGAAAAUUUGAAUUUCGAUAUUUUAUUAUUUAAAUUAAUAAUUUCGAAAAUGCAAAAAGGCAAAAUCGGAUAUUCAUAUUUCAUUAAAGCAAUAUGGAUAUAAGGGAUUUGAGAGGCCCAUAGGAGAUUGGCUCACUACAAAUAGGGGCAUGAGAGGAGUUGGCUCUUAUGUUAUUAGGUUUAGUUGGUACUUAGUAAAUAUGUUUAGGUUUAUGUUUGGUUUAAUACUUUUCUUUAUCUAAUUAGAUUUACGUUUAAUUUGUAAAUCAUAUUUCUCUUUGUAAACUAGUGUAAUUAUAAUUCAAUUUGAAUAAUAAUUUUCCUUUUUAA